rnacentral:rRNA from 1 species
GAUGAACGCUGGCGGCGUGCUUAACACAUGCAAGUCGAACGGAAAGGCCCAACCUUUCUUGGGUACUCGAGUGGCGCACGGGUGAGUAACACGUGGGUGAUCUGCCCUUCACUUCGGGAUAACCCUGGGAAACUGGGUCUAAUACCGGAUAGGACCACUUCUUGCAUGUUGUGGUGGAAAGUUUUUUCGGGGUGGGGUGGGCUCUCGGCCUAUCAGCUUGUUGGGGGGGUGAUGGGCUAACCAAGCGUCGUCGGGUAGCCGGGCCGGGAGGGGGUACGGGCACAUUUGGGAUGGGAAAACGGCCAGAACCCCUACGGGGGGAAGCGUUGGGGAUAAUGGCACAUGGGGGCGAGCCCGAUGCAGGGACGGCGGGUGGGGGAUGAAGGGCCUUGGGUUGGAAAACCGUUUCGCCAGGUACGAAGCGUUUUGUGACGGUAACUGGUGAAGAAGCACCGGCUAACUACGUG